UACGUAGGGGGCGAGCGUUGUCCGGAGUUACUGGGCGUAAAGCGCACGCAGGCGGUCUGCUAAGUUUGGAGUGACAGUUGGUGGCUUAACUGCCAAAGUGCUUCGAAAACUGACAGACUUGAGGGCUUCAGAGGGACACGGAAUUCCGGGUGGAGUGGUGAAAUGCGUAGAGAUCCGGAAGAACACCAAAGGCGAAGGCAGUGUCCUGGGGAGUACCUGACGCUCAGGUGCGAAAGCCAGGGGAGCGAACGGG
rnacentral:rRNA from 1 species